AAAGAUUAAGCCAUGCAUGUCUAAGUAAAAGCAAAUUUUUACAGCGAAACUGCGAAUGGCUCAUUAAAUCAGUUAUGAUCUACAUGACAAAUACUUUACUACUGGAUAACCGUGGUAAUUCUAGAGCUAAUACAUGCAGAAAAGACCUGACUUCGGAAGGGUUGCACUUAUUAGAUCAAAACCUCCCUGGGUAAAACCAGUUCUUUGGUGAUUCAUAAUAAUUUAGCUGAUCGCAUGGCCUUGCGCCGGCGACGGUACAUUCGAUUUUCUGCCCUAUCAGGCUGUUGAUUGUAAGAUAGAGGCUUACAAUGGCUACCACGGGUAACGGGGAAUUAGGGUUCGAUUCCGGAGAGGGAGCCUGAGAAACGGCUACCACAUCCAAGGAAGGCAGCAGGCGCGCAAAUUACCCAAUCCCAAUUCGGGGAGGUAGUGACAAUAAAUAACAAUGCUGGGCCUUUUGGCCUAGCAAUUGGAAUGAGUACAAUUUAAAUCCCUUAACGAGGAUCAAUUGGAGGGCAAGUCUGGUGCCAGCAGCCGCGGUAAUUCCAGCUCCAAAAGCGUAUAUUAAAGUUGUUGCAGUUAAAACGUCCGUAGUCGAAUUUACACCUGGUGCUUGAGCCGCUGGUUCUUCAUUGAGCCGGAUUGUGCUUCAAGCCCGGUGAUAAAGUUUGGUUUAUAGUGUGGUUGGCUUCGGUCGGCUGCAUUUCCUAGCCAAGCGUAUUACCAUGAGCAAAUCAGAAUGCUCAAAGUAGGCCUUCGCGCCUGAAUGUGUUAGCAUGGAAUAAUAAAAUAGGACUCGAGUCUUGUUUUGUUGGUUUACUUGACAUUGAGAAAUGAUGAAUAGGAACGGUUGGGGGCAUUUGUAUUUGGCCGCUAGAGGUGAAAUUCUUGGAUUGGCCGAAGACAAACUACUGCGAAAGCAUUUGACCCAGGACGUUUUCAUUGAUCAGGGACUAAAGUUGAGGGAUCGAAGACGAUUAGAUACCGUCGUAGUCUUAACCACAAACUAUGCCGACUAGCGAUUGGGUCUUGACCUUUGGUCAGAUUCAGCAGCUUAGCGAAAGUAAAGUCUUUGGGUUCUGGGGGGAGUAUGGGACGCAAGGCUGAAACUUAAAGGAAUUGACGGAAGGGCACCACCAGGAGUGGAGCCUGCGGCU
rnacentral:rRNA from 1 species